CAACAGAGCAAACUCCAUCUCAAAACAAAACAAAAAAACCAAAAAUCAAAACUUAAAAAACAAAAAACUGCUGGUGGGCUGGGUGUGGUGGCUCACUCCUGUAGUCCCAGCACUCUGGGAGGAUUGCAUGAGCCCAGGAGUUUGAGGCUGCAGGGAGCUAUGAUGGUGCCACUGCACUCCAGCUUGGGCAUCAGAGUGAGACCUUAUCUCAAAAAUAAAUAAACAAAGGGAAGGAAAGGAAGAAGAAAAUGAAAAACUGCUGGUGGAUGAACAACAGCCUCAUUCAGUUGACUUCUUUUUCCUUCACCAAGACUGACUGGAGCUCUCCCGUGUCAGCUCGUAGCACAGAAGGUGAAGAGCCUGCUGUGGGGCCAGGGCUUCCCAGAUUACGUGGCCCCUUUUGGAAAUUCCCAGGCCCAGGACAUGCUGGACUGGGUGCCCAUCCACUUCAUCACCCAGUCAUUCAACAGGAAGGAUUCCUGCCAGCUCCCAGGGGCUUUGGUUAUAGAAGUGAAGUGGACUAAAUACGGAUCCCUGCUGAAUCCACAGGCCAAAAUAGUCAAUGUAACUGCAAAUCUAAUUUCAUCCUCCUUUCCUGAGGCCAACUCAGGAAAUGAAAGGACGAUUCUUAUUUCCACUGCGGUUACUUUUGUGGAUGUG
rnacentral:lncRNA from 1 species